AGCUCCAAUAGCGUAUAUUAAAGUUGUUGCAGUUAAAUAGCUCGUAGUUGAUUCUGGACUUAAGGGAAGACGGCUUUUAACUAAGCUUUGUCGGAACUUGGUCUUGGGGGAUACCUUGGCUGGGCGUUAAAACUCGGUCGAGGGAGGCCCUCGAUUACUUUGAAGAAAUUAGAGUGUUCAAAGCGGGUCGCAAGGCUCGAAUAUAUUAGCAUGGAAUAAUAGAAUAGGACUAGCGUCUUAUUUUGUUGGUUAUUUUGGACGCAAGUAAUGAUUAAUAGGGAUAGUUUGGGGGCAUUAGUAUUUUAUUGUCAGAGGUGAAAUUCUUGGAUUUAUAAAAGACUAACUUCUGCGAAAGCAUUUGCCAAGGAUGUUUUCAUUA
rnacentral:rRNA from 1 species